CACGCUCUUAAAGCGUUCCCACGGCAUUGCUCUGUGUCAGCUGAGCCUCGUCAAGUUUCUCCAGUGAGCUCCGUAGGCUCUCUGCUGUUUUUAUGCCUGCAAUGCAUCGGGGGCACUCGACUCUCGGCUUCCGCGCCGGAAAACAACACAACGCGGCGAACAUUUUCUAGCGCCGUGGCAAAAUCCGACACGCCUGGCUCUCGUAACGGAGCCCAAAGACAAGUGGAGGCUCUUUCCACGCUUGUCACUCUUGCUUUUGCAAGCCUUGCUGGUCCCUUUGUCGACAAUCAGUUCAUCUUCCUCCCUGCUGGGCUCAAACAGCCCAGUGUGACCAGUUGGUUAGAAAUUAAUCUGGACGUUUGAGAGUCGUUGUUACGCCUGGUGGCGCGCUGAGGCCCUUGCUGUCAGAAAGUAUCCAAUGCUAAAAGUAUGUCUGGUAAAGAAGUGCAAAAAGGCCAGCGUUCACUUGGAGCACGUUUCUUCGAUGAAGGAUGAGAAUCCCACACUCCACGAACAGGUUGCCUGUGGGAUGCAGGCAGUGGAGGUUCCUGCAUAAACAGUGUCCUGGGUAAGCCCCUCCCUCCUUCUGCCGCCCCAAAGCCAAUCUAAAAAUGACCUAAAAUGGCCUCUUUAUUCCCAGCACCAAGCGGAGGAUCCUAACUAUGCAUUGACUUCUUUUCUAUUGCAUUAAAGCAAUAGAAAACUUGCAAAAGACACAAAUGGUACGAUGCAUUUUUCAGCGCCCCCUUUCUAUUGCAGCCCUGAGUAACAGCCCACAUCCCCCAAAUCACACAAACACCACCUAUCUAGAGUUUAUUCAAGCCACAGAUAGGUGACGCAGCUGUGUCUCUGUGUAGCUACAACAUGCUGGUUGUGUCAGUGGAUGUAAACGCGUACGAAAGCUUCUUCGCAGGCAUUGCCAACAGAUUGUGACGCAUCACUGCUUCAAAUCACGAUUUCUCCUCUUUGAAUCGUCAUCCAAUCACACCGAUUUUCAGAAAAUGAAGCAGCUGCUGCAAUGACAGGCUGUACGUCAUGCAUGAGAUCCAGCCGAAUGCAAAAAGCAAGAGGCGCGUGCAGGUCUGAAGGAGGACCCUUGUCUUUUGAGUCUGUGGGGACCGGGGACGCAGCGGCAGAGGUCAGAGAGCCGGCAGAGCAUCACGUUUCACAGCUCCGAGCCCAGAGUAUAAAUAGGCAUUUUUUGCGACGUGUCUUCUCCGCUUUCUUGUGAACGGACGCAAAGAAGGAGAGGACGGCGGUAAAGACUUUCCCCCGCUCGCGAGGCCCUUUCAGUCUUCAACUGGGUCGUU